CAUGUACUCCCUCCGUCCCGAAUUACUUGUCGCUUAAACGGAUGUAUCUAGCACUACAAUAGUGCUAGAUACAUCCGUUUGAGCGACAAGUAAUUCCGAACGGAGGGAGUAUGUA
rfam:Triticum aestivum genome assembly, contig: Triticum_aestivum_CS42_TGACv1_scaffold_404414_5BL